CUUGUAUUCUUUGUCAUUGAAGCCUUGAGGAUGGCAAUUUGUAAUUGCUGAAAAUGUUAGGCAAUAAAGUUUGUUUAAGUUUGUAAGGAACCAAAAGAGAAAACAAAAUUUGGUUCAGCAUUAUUUAAAAAUUGAAAUAAAAUAUAGAAAAAAAGAGGUAUCGUACCUGCCAUGUUCUCCUGUCGCCAUAUUGGACUGAUGUACAGCUUGGACUUGAUGACGUCAAAAAAAAGAAAAAAAAAGUUGUGUGCAUAACCACGAUUAAAAUUGAAGGUGGUGAUUUUUGUAUAGCUAAGAAAAAGUUGACAACUAAUAUGUUUUUCUUUGUUAGAAGUAAAUUUUAUUUUGCUUCAUUACACUAUGCAAAAUAGUUUUUUUUAUAAAAGCUUGUCACCGGAUGGAGCCACAUAUUGUUGUUGUGAUGUUUGUCAUCUGUCCGUGGUGGUACUUUCUGCUGUAUGCUGUUAGUGUGGUCCUGGCCUUCAUUGUUCCUUUUACUGUGAAUCCAUCUGUGAACUGUUGUAAGUCUGGUGGAACUUGGACAGUCGGCCCUCCGAAUACCGUCUAUAUGGACUUUUAUCUUGUUAUUUGCUAUAAAGAAGUUUGUUUAUUUGCACCCGCAGGUUGUUGGAGAAAUUGGUGUUUAUUUAACAUU
rnacentral:lncRNA from 1 species